rnacentral:misc_RNA from 1 species
UAUGAAGAACGUAGUGAAAUGCGAUAAGUAAUGUGAAUUGCAGAAUUCAGUGAAUCAUCGAAUCUUUGAACGCACAUUGCGCCCCCUGGUAUUCCGGGGGGCAUGCCUGUCCGAGCGUCAUUACAACCCUCAAGCUCAGCUUGGUGUUGGGCCCCGCCGCCCCGGCGGGCCCUAAAGUCAGUGGCGGUGCCGUCCGGCUCCGAGCGUAGUAAUUCUUCUCGCUCUGGAGGUCCGGUCGUGUGCUCGCCAGCAACCCCCAAUUUUUUUCAGGUUGACCUCGGAUCAGGUAGGGAUACCCGCUGAACUUAAGCAUAUCAAUAAGCGGAGGA